GAAACUGUGUGGCUCGAAUAUAGAUGAGGUAGNCGGAAUGUGUAGUGUAGCGGUGAAAUGCAUAGAUAUUACACAGAACACCAAUUGCGAAGGCAGCUUACCAAACUAUUAUUGACGCUGAAGCACGAAAGCGUGGGUAGCGAACAGGAUUAGAUACCCUGGUAGUCCACGCCGUAAACUAUGCUCACUCGCUGUUGGCAAUACAUGGUCAGCGGCUAAGGGAAACCGAUAAGUGAGCCACCUGGGGAGUACGAUCGCAAGAUUGAAACUCAAAGGAAUUGACGGGGGCCCGCACAAGCGGAGGAACAUGUGGUUUAAUUCGAUGAUACGCGAGGAACCUUACCUGGGCUUAAAUGUAGAGUGCAUUACGUAGAAAUAUGUAUUUCCUUCGGGACUCUUUACAAGGUGCUGCAUGGUUGUCGUCAGCUCGUGCCGUGAGGUGUCGGGUUAAGUCCCAUAACGAGCGCAACCCCUAUUGUUAGUUACCAGCGCGUAAAGGCGGGGACUCUAGCGAAACUGCCGGUGUAAACCGCGAGGAAGGUGGGGAUGACGUCAAAUCAGCACGGCCCUUAUGUCCAGGGCUACACACGUGUUACAAUGGCCGGUACAGUGGGCAGCCACAUAGCGAUAUGGAGCUAAUCUCAAAAGCCGGUCUCAGUUCGGAUUGGAGUCUGCAACCCGACUCCAUGAAGGUGGAUUCGCUAGUAAUCGCGCAUCAGCCAUGGCGCGGUGAAUACGUUCCCGGGCCUUGUACACACCGCCCGUCAAGCCAUGGAAGUUUGGGGUGCCUGAAGUUCGUAACCGCAAGGAGCGACCUAGGGUAAACAAAUGACUG
rnacentral:rRNA from 1 species